UGCUGAUAGACAGUGUUACUGCCAGCUGCCGCAGCCUGCGCCUGUCACACUGACAGGCAGCAGCAGCGCUGGUAGGAUGAACAGCUGAGCUGAUAUCCUGUGCCAGGAACCUCCCCUCUCCCCUCUUCUCCCGCUGCACAUGUCCAGAGUCCCGCAUGAAGAUAGGCAGCAGCGUCGCCCCUCCCUCCCCUGUGACUCUGUAUGAAGACACAGCAGUCUUCAGCACCGCUUACCCCCCUCCCCCAUCAGUGGAGGAGGCAGGAAGUCACGUGCAUUGGAGGAAGCAGCAGAGCAGAGUCAGACAUGAGAACUUCGAAGAGCAGCAGCCACACACUGAGGAGCAGAGACUGAGGGUGUUGUCUCUCUGCAAUGACCCGUCUCACACUUACCGGUAGCUGUGACCUCACCAGUUCUUUCAGUGGAGAACACUGGUACUGCUCUAACUGGGUGGACAGGCCCCACCUGAGUUUCCUGCAAAGCGACUGCCUGAAUGAGAGCUGGGAUUUGGCUGGAUCCUUCAUCUUCCUGUGACCUAGGACCUUGAAGACUUCAAAACAGGAUACAACUUGCAAAGCGUAUGAGCAACCCGUGAUUGGUCCUCCAGCUCACACCACACCUCCACCCGCUAAGCAUCAUAAAACGUCAGGAAGAAAAUUCAGAGGGACCCUGUGAAAUUGGCCGGAUGGAGUAGCUCCUGGGACCCCAGUUCGGGGGAGCAGGU